rnacentral:lncRNA from 1 species
GUCGCUCACCUUGGUCUAUGUGCAUAUUAAACAAAGGACACAAAUGGAUUCAUGACAAAAUUGUAUUUUGGUGAUGGUGAUGUGUUUGAAGUUCUUACUUUACUGAACAUUCUUGCUUCUUACAAUUAUAUCUAUAAUGAACUUUGCCCAUUAGUAACAGAGAAAAAUAUUUGGUAAAAAUUUACAUAAAUUUACCAAAUUAAUGAAAAUUGUUAAAAAUUGACUAUAAAGGGCAAUAACUCCUUAAGGGGUCAAUUGACCAUUUAGGUCAUGUGGACUUAUUUGUAGAUCUUACUUUGAUGAACAUUAUCGCUGUUUACAGUUUAUCGCUAUCUAUAAUAGUAUUCAAAGAUAAUAAACCAAAACAGCAAAAUUUCUUUAAAAAUUACCAAUUGGAGGGCAGCAACCCAACAACCGGUUGUCCAAUUCAUUUGAAUAUUUCAGGGCAGAUAUAUAUUGACUUGAUUAACAAUUUAACUCCUUGUCAGAUUUCCUCUAAAUGAUUUGGUUUCAGAGUUGUAAGCAAAAAACUACAUUUUACCCCUGUUCUAUUUUUAGCCGUGGUGGCCAUCUUGGUUGGAUGGCCAGGUCAUCGGACACAUUUUUCAAACAAGGUACCUCAAAGAUGAUUGUGGCCAAGUUUGAAAUAAUU